GUCCUUAGUACCAGCACGUUAUGGUGGGCACUCUAAGGAGACUGCCGGUGACAAACCGGACGGAAGGUGGGGAGUGACGUCAAGUCAUCAUGGCCCUUACGGCCUGGGCUACACACGUGCUACAAUGGUCGGUACAAAGGGUUGCCAAGCCGCGAGGUGGAGCUAAUCCCAUAAAACCGAUCGUAGUCCGGAUCGCAGUCUGCAACUCGACUGCGUGAAGUCGGAAUCGCUAGUAAUCGUGAAUCAGAAUGUCACGGUGAAUACGUUCCCGGGCCUU
rnacentral:rRNA from 1 species